ensembl:lncRNA
UCUCUGAUGAGCUUUUUAUCAUGUUCAUAAGAAGGAGAAGUCUGAUAUAAAGUAGUAAAACAAGAAUAAACAAACCUAUAAUUUGGAGUGGCAGCUCUGGGGACAAUAACAAGGUUUUCCAAUCUCGCAGAUCACCAUUACCAACGUAAAGACUUAAAGGGAAGUUCAGGAAGCAGGGCUUAAACCUUUUUGUAAAUUUAAAAACAAGUAAUGAUCUCCAUUGCUGUUCUCCAGGUUUAUUCAAAUUUGGACAAUUAGGACAAUUAAACAUAAAACAGAGACAGUUCUAAAGAGGGAGCUGCAACAAAGCAGAAUAAUUGCUGGUACCGGGCUAUCAAAUUUACAUAAAAAAAGAUUAAAAAGCUGAUUUACAUUUAAAAAACAAGAUCAGGCAACAUCUAAAAGAGAUAACACAACCCGCUGAGAAAAACUCUUUUCAUCAAUAAAGGAGAAGCAAAGGUGAUUAUACAUAACAAAACUAAUCUCCUAUAUUGCCUUAAUCACCGGAAACUGCUUUAACUGUUUAUUUGGGAACUGUUACGUGAAAAAAAAAUAUUGCAUGUAAAAGUGGCUAAUUUCCAGGUUGCAGUAAGACACAGACACCAGCAAGAUCCCGCUCACACACUCCCUGUUCACCACCUGCUGUCUCCUCGAGAGCCUGUCUUCUCUUGGUUAUCAAAUCUUUCACCAAUUACAAAUCUGCUCAUUCUAGAACUUGAAAAUUUGCCAUAUAAUUGGUUUAACAGGUGCUUCCAGAAUAGCCAUGCUGUUUAUUGUUAAAGCAUCUCAUGAACAAAGUAGAUUGUGAAGACUUUCCUUCCUGGACUGAGCACCUAUGUGGAAUUUUAACUUUUUUCAAAACAGAGAAAGAGCAUCAUUACCUGAAUUUUAACAUGUGCCAGCACCAGAUCCUUUGUUCAUAUUUACUAUUUUACUGCGUGUGUGUUUUCAAGAAGAGUAUUUUAUUCUUUAUUUGGGUACAUUCAUGAUUUGAGCUUGAGGAAUCAAAAACAGUUAAACAUGUCUCAAAAUUGAGGGGUCAAUUGCCACUAACGUAUAUGCUAUUGGUCAUAGAGCAUCCUGUUAAAUCACACUAGAAGUCAAGAAGAAAAUUACAAUUAUCUCAGUCAUGAAUUUGAGUUAAGAAAAACAGAAAGAAGAUAGGAAUUGGGAGAAAUUCCCAUUUCAGUCCAUUUAUAAAGAAGCAAUGAAAUGCUAGUGAUGUUGAAAGCUUUCAAUAUACCCCACGACAGGGCUCAGGACACAACAGCCCAAAAUAUGGUACCUUGGCAUAUUGAAUAGUUUAAGCUGAAAUUUGAGAAACAGCAGGUGCAGGAAGGACCCUCUGACCCUCCCUGAAGCAGAGGGGUCCAGGCUGGGCGGUGUCCACUCCAGUAGCUCCUUGAGCGCCACACCCAUCUUUAAAUAGCAGUUCCUGUUGGCAGUCAGCUCAGCCCAUUACUUUCGCGCAGUCCUCAUGAUUUGUACAGCCAACAUCUAGAAAACCAUUUGGUUUUUCUACCAAACAAAUCUCAUCUCAAUCGCCAAGAUGCAGAUCGGUUUCUGAGACACUGCGCAUCUCCUGUGCUAGCAGCAACACCAAAAUAAGGGGACGUGGAUCGGCACUGGGCUGUGGCAUGGGCCUCCAGUUUGCCUUCAGAAAUGAACUUCCUUCAGAUCCCAGGAAAUCUGGGGAGUAAGAGAGAAACAGAAUGAAAGUUCGAGAAGGGGACAGAAAGUGUCUUCUCUCAAACCGUAAAUCAUAGAAAUUGAA